rnacentral:misc_RNA from 1 species
ACGGUUUACACGGAACUACUUUCGGAGUUCACUCGCUUGUUAAUUUCGAUCCGUCAGGUUUGCCGGCAGCGGGCGAACGUUUCUUUUCGUAAUUUGCGUUAUCGCAAAAACUAUCAGUUUUUCAACCUGAAGUCGUCGGAUUCCAUCCGAGAAACGUUCCCAAGAGCGCAAUCAAACGAUUUAAGGCCAUCGUUCUCCUUGACAUCGUGUGCUAUCGUUUGGGUCUUGUGAAACCGUUUGCAACGGCGGAACCGUGUACUGCCAGCAGCAAGAUAUUUGCAUUUCGCGAUGUUUAGUCAUGACCGGGAUCAGGGUAGAAGCAGUCGUGGCGGUUCUGUUAGAACGGAAGCUACUAGCAGAGGAAGCAGUGAUAAUGGACGUGGACAAAUUACCAGUAGAUUUGGCACUCCUAGUAGAGGAGGUGUGAGUAAUGUACGAGGUGGAUUAAAGGGAAAACAGCCUGGUGGUGGCCUAAGAAAAAUGAAUUGGGAUCUUCGUACUUUGGAACCGAUACGCAAAGAUUUUUACAUAGAACACUCUGGAGUCAGAAACAGAUCCGAUCAAGAAGUAAAUCAAUUUCGAGAAAGUGCAGAAAUAACUGUAAAGGGUGAUAAUGUUCCUAAUCCUAUACAAUACUUUGAAGAGGGAACUUUUCCGCCUUAUGUGAUGGAGGGUAUUCGUAGACAAGGGUACUCACAGCCUACACCGAUUCAAGCUCAAGGAUGGCCUAUUGCUCUUAGCGGCAGAGAUCUUGUCGGGAUAGCUCAGACUGGUUCUGGAAAAACGCUUGGAUAUAUUUUACCCGCAAUCGUGCAUAUCAUACAUCAACCGCGCCUAAGCAACGGAGAUGGUCCAAUUGUUUUGAUCUUAGCACCGACGAGAGAAUUAGCGCAACAAAUUCAAGAAGUAGCUAACUGCUUUGGGGAGUCUGCAGCUGUGAGAAACUCGUGUAUCUUUGGUGGUGCACCAAAAGGACCACAGGCACACGAUUUGGAGAGAGGUAUUGAGAUAUGCAUUGCUACGCCAGGAAGACUUAUAGAUUUUUUAGAAAGAGGAACUACAAAUUUACGUAGGUGUACAUAUCUGGUACUUGACGAAGCCGAUCGCAUGUUAGACAUGGGAUUCGAACCCCAAAUACGAAAAAUAAUUGAGCAGAUACGUCCCGAUAGACAAGUGCUGAUGUGGUCAGCUACAUGGCCUAAAGAAGUUCGCGCGCUCGCGGAGGAUUUUUUGACGGAUUAUGUACAUCUUAAUAUCGGUUCUUUGACUUUGUCGGCCAAUCACAACAUCACUCAAAUUAUCGAUGUUUGUCAAGAAUAUGAGAAAGAUUCGAAGUUGAAUAGACUGCUUCAAGAGAUUGGCACUGAAAAAGAGAAUAAGACAAUCAUAUUUGUGGAAACCAAACGUAAAGUCGACGAUAUCACGAGAAACAUUAGGCGCGACGGAUGGCAAGCUGUGAGUAUUCACGGUGACAAAAAUCAACAAGAAAGAGAUCACGUGUUACAAGAAUUUCGUACUGGAAGAGCGCCGAUUUUAGUGGCGACCGACGUAGCUGCUAGAGGCUUGGAGGCACAGAGUACCCUAACUCAACGCGGUGUACUGCCAGUAUUGGGCAGACACAGUGACUAUUUUAUUUUUUGUUGCUUAUAUCUUAUUACACUUUCCAAAUGGAGAAAUAGAUUUCUACGCAACUUAACUUGUGUUUUGACUUUUACAAUAUUACAAAGUAGCAAAAUAGACUUUACCAUAAUUAUCAAUAUAUUAAUCAAUAAUCAAUGCUGCAAAUGACAUAAGAGCUAGAUCAAUGUGUUCAAAUAUUACUUGUAACAAUUAAAUGAUCUCACGUGGCUUUUUAUCUGUAAAGAUUUACAUAUGUAAAACAGUUAUAAAUGUGCAAUUCCCAGUCACAUAAUACAAAAACUAAAAGAAAUGCAAUUUCUAGACUUUUUAUCUAGUGCCUCUAAUUUUAAAGAGUUAUUAUACAGUGCCUAUCAAAACUAAUUCACUCAGGCUUAAACCCUAAAUUGCUGCCUCUAUCCCAAACCAGACACAACCGCUGUGUCUGUCUAAUCUCUAGGCCACCAGUAUAUUACCUUAAGAAAGCAACCAGAAUUGCCCCACUUUAAAAGCAAACGGGGUCGUUCUUGCUGAUUUCACAUCGGAAUUUCCAGACGAAAGAUGUGGAUGAUGUGAAAUACGUGAUAAAUUUUGAUUAUCCAUCCUCGUCGGAAGACUACAUACAUAGAAUUGGUCGAACCGGGC